UACGUAGGGUGCGAGCGUUGUCCGGAAUUAUUGGGCGUAAAGGGCUCGUAGGCGGUUUGUCGCGUCGGGAGUGAAAACCUCGGGCUUAACUCGGGGCUUGCUUUCGCUACGGGCAGACUGGAGGUAUGCAGGGGAGAACGGAAUUCCUGGUGUAGCGGUGAAAUGCGCAGAUAUCAGGAGGAACACCGGUGGCGAAGGCGGUUCUCUGGGCAUGUCCUGACGCUGAGGAGCGAAAGUGUGGGGAGCGAACAGG
rnacentral:rRNA from 1 species